rnacentral:rRNA from 1 species
UUUUAUGGAGAGUUUGAUCCUGGCUCAGGAUGAACGCUGGCGGCGUGCCUAAUACAUGCAAGUCGAGCGAACAGACGAGGAGCUUGCUCCUCUGACGUUAGCGGCGGACGGGUGAGUAACACGUGGAUAACCUACCUAUAAGACUGGGAUAACUUCGGGAAACCGGAGCUAAUACCGGAUAAUAUAUUGAACCGCAUGGUUCAAUAGUGAAAGACGGUUUUGCUGUCACUUAUAGAUGGAUCCGCGCCGCAUUAGCUAGUUGGUAAGGUAACGGCUUACCAAGGCAACGAUGCGUAGCCGACCUGAGAGGGUGAUCGGCCACACUGGAACUGAGACACGGUCCAGACUCCUACGGGAGGCAGCAGUAGGGAAUCUUCCGCAAUGGGCGAAAGCCUGACGGAGCAACGCCGCGUGAGUGAUGAAGGUCUUCGGAUCGUAAAACUCUGUUAUUAGGGAAGAACAAAUGUGUAAGUAACUAUGCACGUCUUGACGGUACCUAAUCAGAAAGCCACGGCUAACUACGUGCCAGCAGCCG